GGAGAUCAUGCCUUGCCCUGCCUGGCCAGCUGCAGUUGGUACGGCCCGGGGGGCAGGACAUUACCUGGACUAUAGCUGCUGAGUGGGCGGGAGAGAGACUUACAGCAGAAGUGGCUGAAAGGAGUGAAAGUGGAUGCGAGUUUGCAAGGUGGAAUGACUGCAGAAAGGACAGGUCAGGGAUGCGCUGCGUACAAGGCCUCUUUGCUAAAUGAACAGCACAAGCAUGUAGGGACAAAGGGUAAUCGGGAUGGAGUUAAACCUGCAGCAAGAAGGGACUCAUCUUCUGACAAUACCAGAAAGCGAACCCUUCCAGGAAGUUUCUUCAUUAAGCUGUUUCCAUCAGAGAAGAUCUGCCGAAAGAGAAGGUUUCCUUCUCAAUUUGGCUGUUGAUGCUCAGUUUGGCAGCUCCCAGUACUUUCAAUACAGAAAUGUUACAUGAAUUGUGAUUCUGCAUCUCCCUGGCAUGCAGCUGAAGGAAUGAGGCGUGUUCCCUGUUGACCAUUGUCCCCGGCCCUUACCCAGCACGUCUUGCUUUAGCUCCUCAAUUCUCCCAGCGUUGAGUAAGUGAAAAGGCAGUUCGCUUAGCUUCCUCCGAUUUGCAACAGUAUCAGAGAACCAGAGUGGCUGAGGUGCUACCUGGUAAAGGGAGAAACAGGAGGUGAUCAAGGAGAACCCAGGUGAGAUACAGGACCAACUAGGAAGGAGGGAACUGGAUGCAGAGGAUAAGCUGUGCACAGAAGAGGAGACUCUGGACUCCUUAAAGACCUCAGACCUAAGCAUGAAGAAGACUCAAGAGUGGUGAGGAAAUGAGGUAGGGAAAUGUGUACAGGUGUGAUUGUUUUGUCUAGAUUUGUGUAUGUCUUGAGCUAGCUAAAAAAGAAGUGACUGGUUUUUGAAGCCCUUGAAAAGCCUGGGUCUCUUUCUGUUUCCGCUGUCAUGUGUCCCUGGAUAGGUGAAUUGUAAAGGAGAGUGCCUACAGGGUUGGGGCCUGGAAAAGGUUGUGCUUAAGCUACUGGAGAGUUUGGGAAGUGAGCUCUGGUCCUGGGGGCCAAGGACAGCUGCGCCAUCAAGUCCCAUUUCUGUGAAGGGGUAACAGACGAAAGCCUGUGCCCAGGACCUGUACCACAGCAGCCAAAUAAAGAGAGAGUGCUGCAGCCUACUUUGAUCAAGGGAAGCUUAAGAGCACACAGGUGUAGCAUCUUGGGAUCCAAACACAGCAGCCUGAUGAGGUCCAACUGAGAGAGCUCUACCAGGGCUGUGACAAAGAAAACCAAAGAGCAAAUAGGAGAAAGAUAAGAACACUCACAGCCACAUAUAUACCCCUUACCCCACACAGUGCCCUGCACAUGCACAGCCCUUCCCCCUCACAUACACAUAGGUUCAUGCAUACUCCACUCUUCAUAUGCUCAAGCAUGCACACUCCCACCCAUGCUGUCACACACAAGCACAUACACACACAUGCUGUUCCAUGUAUUUUUCUCCACACUACAGUGGAAGUAAAGAACCAAAUUCAGGGGACCCAUUGCACCCAGCCUCACUAAAGCCACUUGAAAGUCAGCCUUGUGCACCAGCCAGCAUCUCUUCUCCUUGGCCCCUUGCACAGUAAAGUGUGCUGCAUGCUGACCUUGUCUGCACUGGCAAUGCCAUUCGUACCAGAAUCCUGCUCUCUCAGACACCAUCUACAUGCAGAGGGGAUGGUGGUGGCAAGUACAGCAUGCACCUAACUUUGAAUAAAAUGCAGCAGACUGCAGCCAUCUUCACCUUUUAAUGUGGAGCUGCAACUCCCAUGGAGGACAUGAUUCUCUGCUGAGUCAAGCAGCCUGGCCAUGUUGCAGCACAGUGCAACCCACUGCCCUCAUCCCUUCUGGUGUAAGGGACGAGAUCUGCAUUCAGACUGCCGAAAGCAUUUGGCAUCUUCAGCACAUCACAGUUUAUUUACCUGAGUA